GACUGAAAGGUAACCAUGAUUAAUAAGAGGAGUUGUAACGACUUCAAAAAAGAAACCAACGAACUGUUUCCAAAAUUAACCUUACUGGUGGAGUCUCUAUUGGGAAUCAAAAUCUAUAGUACGACUGAAUUCUAAAAGGAUUUGGAAAACCAGGUUGACUAUUAGGCCAAUCACCCGAUCAUCAGGUCGACCACUCAGACUGAUCAUCCGGCCGAAUACUCAGGCCGACUACUAGGCCAAAGAUCCAGGUUGAUCACUUAGGCCGAC
rnacentral:lncRNA from 1 species